rnacentral:sRNA from 1 species
UUUCGGAAACAAGUUUUCGACUCACUGC